rnacentral:misc_RNA from 1 species
GAUGAAGAACGUAGCGAAAUGCGAUAAGUAAUGCGAAUUGCAGAAUCCGUGAGUCAUCGAAUCUUUGAACGCACAUUGCGCCCUUUGGUAUUCCGAAGGGCAUGCCUGUUCGAGCGUCAUUAUCACCCCUCAAGCCCCGGCUUGGUGUUGGGCUCUCGGUGGUCGUCUCCGACCACCCGUCUCAAAGAUAGUGACGGCGUCCCAGAGGGAACCGGUACGAGGAGCUUUCACGAGCAUGUACGCGGGACGACUCUGCGGGCGACGGUCUUAUUUACUUUAUAUACAAGUGUUGACCUCGGAUCAGGUAGGAAUGCCCGCUGAACUUAAGCAUAUCAAUAAGCGGAGGA